UAUUCUUUAGUAAAGGAUGAAUAGUCUAUUGUUCAGCUAUUAGUUCCCCUCCCCAACUUGCAACAAAUUGUUGUUACUCCCAUCUCUUUCCUCGCCCUCUUCCACACGCCAUUCUCCGGCCGAGUGGCUUGCUUGUGGGCGUUCUGGCAUGAUAUGGCAGCACCUUCGGUUUUAUGUCAAGAAUUCUGCAUAGCAUAUUUGUAUGAAGGUCUGGUUAUUCACAGGAAAAUUAUUAUAUACUAUGGAGGUACUUUUGUGUCUUUUUGUCGAGAGCAAAACUUUUUUUUUUUCAAUCAAAAAUAAUUGUUCUGAAAGCAAAAACGAGGCAAUCAAAUAUUUUGUAAUAGAGCUCAACACUUUAUGCAUUUUAUUCCCCAAAAUUAUUUUGAGAAGAAAAAAUGUAUUUGUAAACAAAAAUUUAAUUUCGCUAUCAACCACCCUCCAUUUUGGCAAUUUCUUGAGUGUUUUGCUACAACCAAUACUGUUCAGCCUUUCUUUCCGACACAAAGGACGUCAUAGCGGACACCUACGAAGGACUGUGUCAUGAUGGCAUCUCAGGUAAGCAGCACUGGGCGAUAUUCCGUCUAACUUCUACAUAGCUAGUAGUUAGCUCCUAAGAUGCAGUGUCGGUUCAUAACUUCUUAUGGCUGCAGGGGCAGUAUUGAGUAGCUUGGAUGAGAGGUGCCCAUAGUAAACGGCCUGCUCCUCAUUCAUAGUUGCUAAUAUUUGCAUAGUAUUAGCAGUAUUGGAUAGAAAACACUCUGAAGUUUCUAAAACAGUUUGAAUUAUGUCUGUGAGUAUAACAGAACUCAUAUUGCAGGCAAAAACCUGAGAAAUUUGUUUGGAUUUUUUCUGGGGGUGGCAGAUUUUCAACCAAGCUCUCAUUGAAAUUACAGCGAGAUAUGGAUGAGUUUUCACUUCCUACGCCUUCCACUAGAUGUCAACAGUCAAUAGAACUUUGUCUGAUGACUCUAAUCUGAAGGGGGGUCGAAUGAGACAGGAAAUAGUCACCACUGCCACGAGUUGACCAUGCUUUCACCUUGCGCGUUCACACGGGAAGGACCUGCGUUCCACCACUCAUCUGAAGUCAUUCUAAUUCUCUGCUUGGAACGUAAUUCAAGAUGUAUGUAAACAACAUUCUAAAGAUUGAUUCAGUACAUCGUUUGACAUGUUUCUACUGACUGUUACAGAACUUUUGGGCAUUUCGUCACGUUAUAGUGGACGCGCUUUGUGAAUUUUAAAUUGUUUACCAAACGCGCUAACCAAAGUAGGUAAUUGGACAUAAAUAACGGACAUUUUCGAAAAAAUCAAGCAUUUAUUGUGGACCUGAGAUUCCUAGGACUGCAUUCUGAUGAAGUUCAUCAAAGGUAAGGAAACAUUUAACAUGUAUUUUCUGGUUUCUGUUGACUCCAACAUGGCGGCUAAUUUGGCUAUUGUUCUGAGCUCCGUCUCAGAUUAUUCCAUGGGUUGCUUUUUCCGUAAUGUUUUUUUUCAAUCUGACACAGCGGUUGCAUUAAGGAGAGGUAUAUCUAUAAUUCCAUGUGUAUAACUUGUAUUAUCAUCUACAUUUAUGAUGAGUAUUUCUGUUGAAACGAUGUGGCUAUGCAAAAUCACUUGAUGUUUUUGGAACUAGUGAAUGUAAUGCGCCAAUGUAAACUCAGAUUUGUUUUAUAUAAAUAUGAACUUUAUCAAACAAAACAUGCAUGUAUUGUGUAACAUGAAGUCCUAUGAGUGUCAUCUGAUGAAGAUAAUUCAAGGUUAGUGAUUAAUUUUAUCUCUAUUUCUGCUUUUUGUGACUGCUAUAUUUGUCUGGAAAAUGGCUGUGUUUAUUGUGGUUUGGUGGAGACCUAACAUAAUCGUUUGUAGAGCUUUCGCUGAAAAGCCUAUUUGAAAUCGGACACUUUGGUGGGAUUAACAACAAGAUUAACUUUAAAAUGAUAUAAAACACAUGUAUGUUUUAGGAACUGUAAUUAUGAGAUUUCUGUGGUUUGAAUUUGGCGCCCUCUAUUUUCACUGGUAGUUGUCAUAUCGAUCCCGGUAGUGAGAUUGCAGCCAUAACAAGAUAACAUUCUACUAUAUUACAUACAUACAUACAUACAUACAUACAUACAUACAUACAUACAUACAUACAUACAUACAUACAUACAUACAUACAUACCGUAGAAUGAUAAAUCAUGCAAUUAUUAUUCUCAAGCUAACCAAAAACAUUUUGCUAUGAACACCUGUUCUCACCAUUUUCAGUUGAAUUCAUCAAACAUUCUUUCAUGGCAGCUCAUAAGCAGGCCAUGUCCUAUUUGUUUCUUAGUCGAAAUAUAAUCAUUUUGCAUGAAAGUAUAACGGUUAGCUUUUUUUACAGAAGGAUGAAAGAACACAAUAUGUCUGUCGGGGGAAUGCUAUUCUGAUAUGUCAGAUGAAGAGUUAGACCAGAAAGUCAGGGCCAUUAAGGCAAGGAUGCCCCAUCCAGGCUUUAGAAUGGUCAAAGGAAGUCUCCAAGCAAUGGGCCAUCGUGUACAAUGGCGAAGAGUUAGGGAGUCUCUGCAGAGUGUAGAUGGUGCAGGUAUCGUUGCCAGAAUGAUCCAGCUUCGUUGCAUUGCUCUGCAAAAAUACUCUGUACCUGCUCCCCUGUCUCUCGUCCACAUUGAUACAAAUCAUACAUUGAUAAGGUACUAGAUGUAUAAUGUCUCCAUCAAAUCUUAGAAGUAAACUUUUUUUGUUCUUUCUUAUUUGUAGAAAAUAUCAACUGGUAGUACAUAAAUAAUGAAGCAGGUUAAUAGGUUAAACAUUUCACUUUUCAUUCCAAUGCUUUUUUCAAGAUACAACAUUGUCAUAUUUGGCAGUAUAGAUGGAUUUUCAAGGAAGGUAAGUAUAUUAUUUUGUAUGCAUAUUGCAUAUUUCCCAUCACCUAAUGAACAACCAUAAUACCAGUCUGGUGUUAAGCUUUCUGUGCUGUAUUGAUGUGUCCUACAAAUGACAUCUCCUGCUUUAGAUUGAAUGGUCAUAUCUCAGUUAUUGUUUUCAUAUCUACAAAAAAAUAAGCUAUUUUCUUUACUUUCAGAGUGAGAGCUGAUCAAGGGGUCGAAAAUGUCAAUAUUGCCAGAUGUAUGUUCACUGUCCGAGGAACAGGCUAUGGAAGCUUUACUGCUGGCAAAAGUGUCCUUAACCAAAGAGUGGAACGCUUAUGGACAGAUGUUUGGAGUGCUGUGACAUGUCAGUACUACAACUUUCUGCACAGUUUGGAGGAAGAAGGCUACCUUGACCUGUCAAAUUCUAUCCACCUCUUCUGUGUGGGAUAUGUGUUCCUACCUUGUCUGCGGGCAGAUCUGCAGUGUUUCACAGAGAGUUGGAAUAAUCCCCCUUUAAGUACAGAGGUCAACCUGACACCUCACCAGCUGUUGCCUUAGCACUACACAACUGAUUCAAAUGAUCAAGUCAUCAUCAAGCUUCAAGUGGUAUUUAUGUAUUCAUUUGUGAUCUGGUAAUGUAAAAGUCUAAUAAUGACAUUAUCUUCUAUUUUUUGUCCUCAUGUGUCUGUUUUUCAGCAUAAAGUACUCUGUAGUCACUUAGUGUGGACACCAGGUUAUAUCAGCUGUGUUGGUGAACCCCUCCCGCAUCUGAACUGUCUGACACAGAGUGCACAGCAUGAUCAUAGGUAUGUUUUGAUGUGAGAGAGGAAGCCAGUCCCAUCAUCGCCACCUUACCUGCUCUUAAGAUAACCUUCGGGCCGACUGGGAGCCCAAGGCUGGUUAGGAGACUGGUUAGGAGACACCUCUAGAGACACUAUGUAAUUGUGAUGAACCGAGAGAAUAUUAGGAUAGUACUGUAAUUCAUUAAUCAUAAGCGGUCUUCCCUGCUCGUCUAUCUUACCUCAUUCCUUUUCUGUCUUCUACACCUCUCUCCCCACCUCCUCUUUCAUCCUCUUUGUUUUAUAAUACACACCAUAUGUACAUUGAAGUACUGAUUGAACUUGUAUUUAUAAAAUGAUAUUACAUUUAUAAUAUUUAUAAUGCAUGUAUUGUAUAUUUAUAACACCUGGAUAAUGAACUUUCA